rnacentral:rRNA from 1 species
UACAGAGGGGGGCAAGCGUUGUUCGGAAUUACUGGGCGUAAAGGGCGCGUAGGCGGCCUGCUAAGUCGAACGUGAAAUCCCUGGGCUCAACCCAGGAACUGCGUCCGAUACUGGUUGGCUUGAAUCCGGGAGAGGGACGUGGAAUUCCAGGUGUAGCGGUGAAAUGCGUAGAUAUCUGGAGGAACACCGGUGGAGAAGGCGACGUCCUGGACCGGCAUUGACGCUGAGGCG